GUGACGUCGUCAGCGAAAAUCAGUCUUGUGUACGCUGACGUUUAUGUCGGGAAAUCGCGAGAUAAAAAUCUUGUACGAAAAUGCGCUGGAUAUUUUGUCUUUUUCAUACAAUUUCUUGGCUCAUAAUUUAUGACAUGCUUUGAAAAUUUCCACAAUAUAGCAUAAAUAUGUCCUUUAAACACUGGCACAAUUGGUGGUUUGUAAUCCGCUUAUUUAAUUCAAAUUAUUCCCCUUGAAAGACACUGUUUCGUUUGAGCAGUUCACAGGUAGCGCAACCUUUCUCGUAGUGUUCAUUUUCAAUGGCUGUUAAACGCUGUAAAUCAAAAUGACAUCUUGUACUAAUGGAUGUCUUCAAUCGAAGAAGGUUCGGAAAUGAUAUUUCCACAUGCUUAAAAUAGGUUGGGAAGUUAUUUUUCAAGACCCGAGGAAGUGUGAGGUGUAUGGAAUCAGCUGUGAAGGAUCUGGAAAGCAGGUUUUUACCUCGCACACGAAGGCCAGUCACAUGGUAAAGGUGCAAAUGCUGUGGUCAGCCAAGUUCACCACUACCUAAACACAUACGGUCUUGGCGAAGAGCAUGCUCACUUUCAGUGUGACAACUUUUGCGGCCAAAAUAAAAACAACAUAGUCAUCUGGUACCUUCUGUGGUUUACACAAAAUAAUCACACUAAGCUUUAUGUUGAUAAGACAUACAAAGUUUACACCAGAUUGGGACUUUGGCAUCUGGAAGUCAAAGUAGAGAAACUUCAACACAGAAAUGUUGUCUGAUGUCGCUGCGUCUGUGGGGUUAUCGUCAAGGACGGGCCACAACAUCCCCCAGCUUGUGGGGGACUCUUCCAAUCCUGUUGUUAUCUAAGGCAGGAAGGAUUACCUUACGACAUUGUUUCACCACAUAAAGAAUGUCACCAAAUUUCAUCAAUUUCCAUGUGUCAGCGGAGCAUCCCGGUGUUGUGGAAUGCAGGGAAUUUAGUGACCCACCAGUAGUCAGAAUCACUCUCAGGAAGGUCUCGUAAGUGAAUGUUAAUGUGAGCUGUGACAACCUGCCAUAAAAAAUGUUUGCGUAAGGGCUUGAUCUGGACCAUCAGUGGUAUUUAUUUGAAAUCAUUUGUGAAUUCUGUCGCAUAGAUGAACCAAAAACGCGCUACUGGUGAGCAACAAAAAACAGACUGUGCCCCCCAAAAAAGAAGAUGCAUUAAGAUGCGCAUCUGAUCUUCUCUGAUGGUAUCAGUGUUUAUUUUGGCCAAGGUAUUGGGUGAUAUAUUUUCCCCCAAACAAUGCAAAAAAUCCUCUAUUCCUAGGAAAGCUAAAACAUGUAUACGAUUGCUAAAUGUGUCAGUUGAUACAGGUUUUGAAAUGUUCAAUGCAAACGUUUGUUGUUCUAAUUGCACAAGCUUGUUUUCAAGUUUUUUAUAUCUCAUAUUUACAAAACAAAAAUCAUUUUUUCCAUCUUACCAUGCAAUUGUUUUCACCUUAUGGACACAGACUGACUUUCCGAAAAACUGGAAAAAAAUCAGUGUGAAUAUUAUAUUUAUUUAUGUUUUACAAUGAAAAUCCUAUAUUUUUGUUUGUUUGCUACAUUGUUUCCAUAGUAACAAAAACAAACAAUUUUUAUGUUUAAGUUAUUGUUUAUUUUGUCUAUUUUUCUCUAUCAGAAAUAAUGAUAAAUAAUGAUUAUUUCAUUUACUGAAACAUGAGUAUCCAAGUGUACUUUCAACCAACUCUUUUCAAUGCUGUGUUUUUCCAUUCUGUUGCGUUUGAGGUUACAUUAUACUUAAAUACACAUGUAACUGAAUAAAUAAAGGAAAUUGUUUAUGGAACACACAAAUUAUUGAUUGCUAUUGUUUAACUAGUAACAAAACAGUGAAAUUAAUGUUGUGUUUGCCUUUAAACAAACACUUGAUUGAAAAUACAAUUCAUAGAUUUAUAAAAGGCGUGAUUGUAUGCUCUGGUGAUUAUUAACAUGUAGAUCGGUUACCAUAGCAACGCAAAUGGUACAUUUUAAAUGUCCAUAAUGCUGUUGUCAUUUUAUUGCACUAUAACUAUGUAUUUGACUAAAGGAAAGAUUAUUGUUUUAAUAAAACAAUGUGCUUGUUUUUUGAA